rnacentral:tRNA from 1 species
UAGUAGCUUAGGCGGUAGUGAAACUGCUUCCGAAGCAUUGGGCCGCGGUUUCGAAUCCCGCCCAGGACAA